rnacentral:rRNA from 1 species
AAAACGGGUGGUAAUGCCGGAUGCUCCAGUUGAUCGCAUGGUCUUCUGGGAAAGCUUUCGCGGUAUGGGAUGGGGUCGCGUCCUAUCAGCUUGACGGCGGGGUAACGGCCCACCGUGGCUUCGACGGGUAGCCGGCCUGAGAGGGCGACCGGCCACAUUGGGACUGAGAUACGGCCCAGACUCCUACGGGAGGCAGCAGUGGGGAAUAUUGCACAAUGGGCGCAAGCCUGAUGCAGCGACGCCGCGUGAGGGAUGGAGGCCUUCGGGUUGUAAACCUCUUUUAUCGGGGAGCAAGCGAGAGUGAGUUUACCCGUUGAAUAAGCACCGGCUAACUACGUGCCAGCAGCCGCGGUAAUACGUAGGGUGCAAGCGUUAUCCGGAAUUAUUGGGCGUAAAGGGCUCGUAGGCGGUUCGUCGCGUCCGGUGUGAAAGUCCAUCGCUUAACGGUGGAUCCGCGCCGGGUACGGGCGGGCUUGAGUGCGGUAGGGGAGACUGGAAUUCCCGGUGUAACGGUGGAAUGUGUAGAUAUCGGAA